rnacentral:rRNA from 1 species
UACGGAGGGGGCUAGCGUUGUUCGGAAUUACUGGGCGUAAAGCGCUCGCAGGUGGUGCGUCACGUCGUGCGUGAAAGACCCCGGCUCAACUGGGGAGGGUCGUGCGAUACGGGCGGACUGGAGGCCAGUAGGGGGAUGCGGAAUUCCCGGUGUAGCGGUGAAAUGCGCAGAGAUCGGGAGGAACACCCGUAGCGAAGGCGGUUCUCCUGGGCCGGUACGUGACGC